rnacentral:rRNA from 1 species
GGUCCUACGGGACGCAGCAGUGGGGAAUAUCGCACAAUGGGGGGAACCCUGAUGCAGCGGCGCCGCGUGGGUGAAGGAGUAUUUCGGUAUGUAAAGCCCUAUCAGCAGGGAAGAACAAUGACGGUACCUGACUAAGAAGCACCGGCUAAAUACGUGCCAGCAGCCGCGGUAAUACGUAUGGUGCAAGCGUUAUCCGGAUUUACUGGGUGUAAAGGGAGCGUAGACGGCAUGGCAAGUCAGAUGUGAAAGCCCGGGGCUCAACCCCGGGACUGCAUUUGAAACUGUCAGGCUGGAGUGCAGGAGAG